GUUCCGGAAGGUUGUUUUGAGGGGAUGAUCACCCAAAUUGGGGAUUGAGACCCGGCCCGGAAUUCUUACGGGGGGCAGCAGGGGGGAAUAUUGGACAAUGGGCGCAAGCCUGAUCCAGCCAUGCCGCGUGUGUGAAGAAGGCCCUCGGGUUGUAAAGCACUUUCAGUGGGGAAGAACGCCUUCCGGUUAAUACCCGGGAGGAAAGACAUCACCCACAGAAGAAGCACCGGCUAACUCCGUGCCAGCAGCCGCGGUAAUACGGAGGGUGCGAGCGUUAAUCGGAAUUACUGGGCGUAAAGCGCGCGUAGGUGGCUUGAUAAGCCGGUUGUGAAAGCCCCGGGCUCAACCUGGGAACGGCAUCCGGAACUGUCAGGCUAGAGUGCAGGAGAGGAAGGUAGAAUUCCCGGUGUAGCGGUGAAAUGCGUAGAGAUCGGGAGGAAUACCAGUGGCGAAGGCGGCCUUCUGGACUGACACUGACACUGAGGUGCGAAAGCGUGGGUAGCAAACAGGAUUAGAUACCCUGGUAGUCCACGCCGUAAACGAUGUCGACUAGCCGUUGGGUCCUUCGCGGACUUUGUGGCGCAGUUAACGCGAUAAGUCGACCGCCUGGGGAGUACGGCCGCAAGGUUAAAACUCAAAUGAAUUGACGGGGGCCCGCACAAGCGGUGGAGCAUGUGGUUUAAUUCGAUGCAACGCGAAGAACCUUACCUACCCUUGACAUCCUCGGAAUCCGCCAGAGAUGGCGGAGUGCCUUCGGGAACCGAGAGACAGGUGCUGCAUGGCUGUCGUCAGCUCGUGUUGUGAAAUGUUGGGUUAAGUCCCGUAACGAGCGCAACCCUUGUCCCUAUUUGCCAGCGAUUCGGUCGGGAACUCUAGGGAGACUGCCGGUGACAAACCGGAGGAAGGUGGGGACGACGUCAAGUCAUCAUGGCCCUUACGGGUAGGGCUACACACGUGCUACAAUGGUCAGUACAAAGGGUUGCGAACUUGCGAGAGUGAGCCAAUCCCAGAAAGCUGAUCUCAGUCCGGAUCGGAGUCUGCAACUCGACUCCGUGAAGUCGGAAUCGCUAGUAAUCGUGAAUCAGAAUGUCACGGUGAAUACGUUCCCGGGCCUUGUACACACCGCCCGUCACACC
rnacentral:rRNA from 1 species